rnacentral:rRNA from 1 species
UACGAGUGGUGCAAGCGUUAUUCGGAUUUAUUGGGCGUAAAGGGUGCGCAGGCGGUAUGUUUAGUCAACUGUUAAAAGCCUCAGCCUAACUGAGGAUCAGCGGUAGAUACUGGCAUACUAGAGGGUGGAAGAGAGAAGUGGAAUUCUUGGAGUAGCGGUAAAAUGCGUAGAUCUCAAGAGGAACACCAAUGGCGAAGGCAGCUUCUUGGUCCAUUCCUGACGCUCAGGCACGAAAGCGUGGGGAGCAAACAGG